rnacentral:rRNA from 1 species
AUUGAACGCUGGCGGCAGGCCUAUCACAUGCAAGUCGAACGGUAGCACAGAGAGCUUGCUCUCGGGUGACGAGUGGCGGACGGGUGAGUAAUGUCUGGGAAACUGCCCGAUGGAGGGGGAUAACUACUGGAAACGGUAGCUAAUACCGCAUAACGUCGCAAGACCAAAGUGGGGGACCUUCGGGCCUCACACCAUCGGAUGUGCCCAGAUGGGAUUAGCUAGUAGGUGGGGUAAUGGCUCACCUAGGCGACGAUCCCUAGCUGGUCUGAGAGGAGGACCAGCCACAAUGGAACGGAGACACGGUCCAGACUCCUAGGGGAGGCAGCAGUGGGGAAUAUUGCACAAUGGGCGCAAGCAUGAUGCAGCCAUGCCGCGGGUAUGAAGAAGGCCUUCGGGUUGUAAAGUACUUUCAGCGGGGAGGAAGGCGGUGAAGUUAACAGCUUCACCGAUUGACGUUACCCGCAGAAGAAGCACCGGCUAACUCCGUGCCAGCAGCCGCCGUAA